GAUGAAGAACGUAGCGAAAUGCGAUACGUAAUGUGAAUUGCAAAUUCAGUGAAUCAUCGAGUCUUUGAACGCACAUUGCGCCCGCUGGUAUGCCGGGGGGCAUGCCUGUCCGAGCGUCAUUGCUGCCCUCAAGCACGGCUUGUGUGUUGGGCCCCGUCCUCCGAUCCCGGGGGACGGGCCCGAAAGGCAGCGGCGGCACCGCGUCCGGUCCUCGAGCGUAUGGGGCUUUGUCACCCGCUCUGUAGGCCCGGCCGGCGCUUGCCGAUCAACCCAAAUUUUUAUCCAGGUUGACCUCGGAUCAGGUAGGGAUACCCGCUGAACUUAAGCAUAUCAAUAAGCGGAGGA
rnacentral:misc_RNA from 1 species